UACGAAGGGGACUAGCGUUGUUCGGAAUUACUGGGCGUAAAGCGCACGUAGGCGGAUUUGUAAGUCAGGGGUGAAAUCCCGGGGCUCAACCUCGGAACUGCCUUUGAUACUGCAAGUCUCGAGUCCGAUAGAGGUGGGUGGAAUUCCUAGUGUAGAGGUGAAAUUCGUAGAUAUUAGGAAGAACACCGGUGGCGAAGGCGGCUCACUGGCUCGUAACUGACGCUCAUGCACGACAGCGUGGGGAUCAAACAGG
rnacentral:rRNA from 2 species